AGUCAUUAAUUUUAUCAAAAUGCCAAUUCAAAUUUUUUUUCAUACAAAAAUAAAUGUAAAACGCUUAAGAGAUUUCGCUUUUUCUAAUUUCCAUAUUAAAUGAUCAUGUUAUUUGAUAAUUUAGACCGCCAGACUGCCCUAACCCCUUAAAAUAUUGAGGAAGAAUAGCAGCAGAAGAUCUAUACUCAACAAAAGCUGUUGCUGUUCGAUCGAACUGUAGUUUCAGUAAAGCUUCUGCCACUUCACAACUCCGUCUGUGCAAUUAAAACGAAAGUACAAAAAGUAUUGGCGGCGUUGCGCAAAUUGGCAUUUCUCAAUGUCACGCGUCUGUGAAUUGACUUGAACAGCUGGGAAGGAUGGCAACAAAACGGAUUCAUAAGUACUAGCUAACUACCGCGCAUACAGCACACAGAAGCAACAAACAAAACGAGAGAAAUGCAAACGAAAUGCGGCAAAUUGUUUCAUGCGCUCAAUGCUUGUUGGCUACUUUUGCUGGUUCUUGUUUGCAGCAUCAGCGAAAGUUUGCGCUAAAAUUGCUAAAUAUUUAUAUACUUGUAUGUAUUUAUGUGAAAUGACAUGUUUAACUUUUUUGCUGGAACUUGUAUUGCCCUAAAGCCUUGGCAUCAACACCAUACGUAAUUAAAACAUACGUCGAGCAUUAAUUGGUAGCUCUCCAAAGGCGUGUAUAAAAUCAAUUUUUCAAGCAUAUUAAGUUUGUAUGUAGCUAGUUUGCAGCGAAUAUAAAGACGCUAUAAUUCCCCAGUGUUCAAAAACAUUACUUGAGUAGAUUGCCUCAAUCAAUUUAAUUAAUUUGAAUUUGUAUUAAAUUUCAUAUGCGGACAAUGAGCGGGCAAUGUCAAGGUUCAAAGAGUUAUCGUAACCUGGUGAUAAAUUCAACAAAAAUAGUGUUAUGAUUUUCUAAUGUAUGUGGCUCGCGACGCAGGAAGAAAAUAUUUAGACUUCAUUUCAACUACAAAAACUCCUUAGAGAUUCUAAAACUGUUCUGUUGAGAAAUAAGUUAAAGAUAAAGCUGUGGCUUUAAAUACAACUGCCUUGCAUUAUCAUGUUACCACUACAAAGAGGGAUUGCGGCUUCGCAAGCGAUCCACCCAAUUUUCUUUAACUUAGAAUAUGUAUUAAGCACAACGGUAGGUAUCCUGUCUCAACCGGCUGGAAGCUGGCCAUUUCCGAAGUCAAAGUUCUAAUGUUUUCUCAGUCUCAGCACAUGUCCGACAUUAUGUCUAUUCUUCC